UUAAGCGACUAAGCGUACACGGUGGAUGCCUAGGCAGUCAGAGGCGAUGAAGGGCGUGCUAAUCUGCGAUAAGCGUCGGUAAGGUGAUAUGAACCGUUACAACCGACGAUACCCGAAUGGGGAAACCCAGUGCAAUUCGUUGCACUAUUGCAUGGUGAAUACAUAGCCAUGCAAGGCGAACCGGGGGAACUGAAACAUCUAAGUACCCCGAGGAAAAGAAAUCAACCGAGAUUCCCCCAGUAGCGGCGAGCGAACGGGGAAGAGCCCAGAGUCUGAAUCAGUUUGUGUGUUAGUGGAAGCGUCUGGAAAGUCGCACGGUACAGGGUGAUAGUCCCGUACACAAAAACACACUUGCUGUGAACUCGAUGAGUAGGGCGGGACACGUGACAUCCUGUCUGAAUAUGGGGGGACCAUCCUCCAAGGCUAAAUACUCCUGACUGACCGAUAGUGAACCAGUACCGUGAGGGAAAGGCGAAAAGAACCCCGGCGAGGGGAGUGAAAUAGAACCUGAAACCGUGUACGUACAAGCAGUGGGAGCACCUUCGUGGUGUGACUGCGUACCUUUUGUAUAAUGGGUCAGCGACUUAUAUUUUGUAGCAAGGUUAACCGAAUAGGGGAGCCGUAGGGAAACCGAGUCUUAACUGGGCGUCUAGUUGCAAGGUAUAGACCCGAAACCCGGUGAUCUAGCCAUGGGCAGGUUGAAGGUUGGGUAACACUAACUGGAGGACCGAACCGACUAAUGUUGAAAAAUUAGCGGAUGACUUGUGGCUGGGGGUGAAAGGCCAAUCAAACCGGGAGAUAGCUGGUUCUCCCCGAAAGCUAUUUAGGUAGCGCCUCGUGAACUCAUCUUCGGGGGUAGAGCACUGUUUCGGCUAGGGGGUCAUCCCGACUUACCAAACCGAUGCAAACUCCGAAUACCGAAGAAUGUUAUCACGGGAGCCACACGGCGGGUGCUAACGUCCGUCGUGAAGAGGGAAACAACCCAGACCGCCAGCUAAGGUCCCAAAGUCAUGGUUAAGUGGGAAACGAUGUGGGAAGGCAUAGACAGCCAGGAUGUUGGCUUAGAAGCAGCCAUCAUUUAAAGAAAGCGUAAUAGCUCACUGGUCGAGUCGGCCUGCGCGGAAGAUGUAACGGGGCUAAACCAUGCACCGAAGCUGCGGCAGCGACACUUAGGUGUUGUUGGGUAGGGGAGCGUUCUGUAAGCCGUUGAAGGUGACCUGUGAGGGUUGCUGGAGGUAUCAGAAGUGCGAAUGCUGACAUAAGUAACGAUAAUGCGGGUGAAAAACCCGCACGCCGGAAGACCAAGGGUUCCUGUCCAACGUUAAUCGGGGCAGGGUGAGUCGACCCCUAAGGCGAGGCUGAAAAGCGUAGUCGAUGGGAAACAGGUUAAUAUUCCUGUACUUGGUGUUACUGCGAAGGGGGGACGGAGAAGGCUAGGCUAGCCGGGCGACGGUUGUCCCGGUUUAAGCAUGUAGGCGGAGCGACUUGGGAAAUCCGGUUGCUUAUCAACGCUGAGGUGUGAUGACGAUGCACUACGGUGCAGAAGUAGUUGAUGCCAUGCUUCCAGGAAAAGCCUCUAAGCAUCAGGUAACAUUAAAUCGUACCCCAAACCGACACAGGUGGUCAGGUAGAGAAUACUCAGGCGCUUGAGAGAACUCGGGUGAAGGAACUAGGCAAAAUGGUGCCGUAACUUCGGGAGAAGGCACGCUGGCAUUAGGUAAAGGGACUUGCUCCCGGCGCCGAAGCCAGUCGCAGAUACCAGCUGGCUGCAACUGUUUAAUAAAAACACAGCACUGUGCAAACACGAAAGUGGACGUAUACGGUGUGACGCCUGCCCGGUGCUGGAAGGUUAAUUGAUGGGGUCAGCCUUACGGCGAAGCUCUUGAUCGAAGCCCCAGUAAACGGCGGCCGUAACUAUAACGGUCCUAAGGUAGCGAAAUUCCUUGUCGGGUAAGUUCCGACCUGCACGAAUGGCGUAAUGAUGGCCAGGCUGUCUCCACCCGAGACUCAGUGAAAUUGAACUCGCUGUGAAGAUGCAGUGUACCCGCGGCAAGACGGAAAGACCCCGUGAACCUUUACUAUAGCUUGACACUGAACAUUGAGCCUUGAUGUGUAGGAUAGGUGGGAGGCAUCGAAGUGUGGACGCCAGUCUGCAUGGAGCCAACCUUGAAAUACCACCCUUUAAUGUUUGAUGUUCUAACUCGGCCCCGUGAUCCGGGGUGAGGACAGUGUCUGGUGGGUAGUUUGACUGGGGCGGUCUCCUCCCAAAGAGUAACGGAGGAGCACGAAGGUUAGCUAAUCACGGUCGGACAUCGUGAGGUUAGUGCAAAGGCAUAAGCUAGCUUGACUGCGAGAGUGACGGCUCGAGCAGGUACGAAAGUAGGUCUUAGUGAUCCGGUGGUUCUGAAUGGAAGGGCCAUCGCUCAACGGAUAAAAGGUACUCCGGGGAUAACAGGCUGAUACCGCCCAAGAGUUCAUAUCGACGGCGGUGUUUGGCACCUCGAUGUCGGCUCAUCACAUCCUGGGGCUGAAGUAGGUCCCAAGGGUAUGGCUGUUCGCCAUUUAAAGUGGUACGCGAGCUGGGUUUAGAACGUCGUGAGACAGUUCGGUCCCUAUCUGCCGUGGGCGUUGGAAGAUUGAGAGGGGCUGCUCCUAGUACGAGAGGACCGGAGUGGACGAAUCACUGGUGUUCGGGUUGUCAUGCCAAUGGCAUUGCCCGGUAGCUAAAUUCGGAAGAGAUAACCGCUGAAAGCAUCUAAGCGGGAAACUUGCCUCGAGAUGAGUCUUCCCUGGGGCUUUAAGCCCCCUGAAGGAACGUUAAAGACUAUGACGUUGAUAGGCUGGGUGUGUAAGUGCAGCGAUGCAUUGAGCUAACCAGUACUAAUGAUCCGUGAGGCUUAACCUU
rnacentral:rRNA from 1 species